UGUCAGGAGAUAAAAUGGGCACAGGCUAAUUAUUGCCAACUAAAAUGCUAGUCAACUUUAGUUAUUAAACCUAAACAUCUAAUGUAAGUCGAAACUGCCUGCAAACUUAUCCUGUAAUUCCUCUACUAUGCGACAGUAAGUUGCGUAAUUAU